CCUACGGGCGGCAGCAGUCAAGAAUCAUUCACAAUGGGGGAAACGCUGAUGGUGCGACGCCGCGUGGGGGAAUGAAGGGCAUCGGAUUGUAGACCCCUGUCAUGGGGGAGCAAAUUAAAAAGAUAGUACCACAAGAGGAAGAGACGGCUAACUCUGUGCCAGCAGCCGCGGUAAUACAGAGGUCUCAAGCGUUGUUCGGAAUCACUUGGCGUAAGGCGUUCGUAGGCUGUUUCGUAAGUCGUGUGUGAAAGGCGCGGGCUCAACCCGCGGACGGCACAUGAUACUGGGAGACUAGAGUAAUGGGGGGGGAACCGGAAUUCUCGGUGUAGCAGUGAAAUGCGUAGAUAUCGCGCGGAACACUCGUGGCGAAGGCGGGUUCCUGUACAUUCACUGACGCUGAGGCACGAAGGCCAGGGGAGCGAAAGGGAUUAGAUACCCCAGUAGUC
rnacentral:rRNA from 1 species